rnacentral:rRNA from 1 species
AUUGAACGCUGGCGGCAGGCCUAACACAUGCAAGUCGAGCGGAUGAGUGGAGCUUGCUCCAUGAUUCAGCGGCGGACGGGUGAGUAAUGCCUAGGAAUCUGCCUGGUAGUGGGGGACAACGUUUCGAAAGGAACGCUAAUACCGCAUACGUCCUACGGGAGAAAGUGGGGGAUCUUCGGACCUCACGCUAUCAGAUGAGCCUAGGUCGGAUUAGCUAGUUGGUGAGGUAAAGGAUCACCAAGGCGACGAUCCGUAACUGGUCUGAGAGGAUGAUCAGUCACACUGGAACUGAGACACGGUCCAGACUCCUACGGGAGGCAGCAGUGGGGAAUAUUGGACAAUGGGCGAAAGCCUGAUCCAGCCAUGCCGCGUGUGUGAAGAAGGUCUUCGGAUUGUAAAGUACUUUAAGUUGGGAGGAAGGGCAGUAAGUUAAUACCUUGCUGUUUUGACGUUACCAACAGAAUAAGCACCGGCUAACUUCGUGCCAGCAGCCGCGGUAACAC